CAAUAGCGUAUAUUAAAGUUGUUGCAGUUAAAAAGCUCGUAGUUGGAUUUCUGGUGGGAGCGAUCGGUCUGGCGCUUAGCGCGAGUACUUGCAUCGUCUCCGGCCAUCCUUGGGGAGAGUCUGUCUGGCAUUAGGUUGUCGGGCAGAGGAUCCUCAUCGUUUACUGUGAAAAAAUUAGAGUGUUCAAAGCAGGCUUAUGCCGUUGAAUAUAUCAGCAUGGAAUAAUAAGAUAGGACUUUGGUACUAUUUUGUUGGUUUGCGCACCAAAGUAAUGAUUAAUAGGGACAGUUGGGGGUAUUCGUAUUCCGUUGUCAGAGGUGAAAUUCUUGGAUUUACGGAAGACGAACUACUGCGAAAGCAUUUACCAAGGAUGUUUUCAUUA
rnacentral:rRNA from 1 species